rnacentral:rRNA from 1 species
CCUACGGGAGGCAGCAGUGAGGAAUAUUGGUCAAUGGGAGAGAUCCUGAACCAGCCAAGCCGCGUGAGGGAAGACGGCCCUAUGGGUUGUAAACCUCUUUUGUCGGAGAACAAAACCCGGGACGUGUCCCGGACUGCGUGUAUCCGAAGAAAAAGCAUCGGCUAACUCCGUGCCAGCAGCCGCGGUAAUACGGAGGAUGCGAGCGUUAUCCGGAUUUAUUGGGUUUAAAGGGUGCGUAGGCGGUCCGUUAAGUCAGCGGUAAAAUGGCGGGGCUCAACCCUGUCGAGCCGUUGAACCUGGCAGACUUGAGUUGGCGAGAAGUACGCGGAAUGCGCGGUGUAGCGGUGAAAUGCAUAGAUAUCGCGCAGAACUCCGAUUGCGAAGGCAGCGUACCGGCGCCAGACUGACGCUGAGGCACGAAAGCGUGGGGAUCGAACAGGAUUAGAUACCCUAGUAGUC